rnacentral:rRNA from 2 species
GUCUUUAAGAAAAUUAUUAAUUUAAAGUCAAAUCUGCCCAAUGAAUAUUUUUUUAAUGGCUGCAGUUAUUCCUGUACUAAGGUAGCAUAAUAAUUUGUUUUUUAAUUUAAAACUUGUAUGAAAGAUUUAAUGAAAUAUAAACUUUUUUAAUUAAAUUUAUAUUAAAUUUUUUAUUUAAGUAAAAAAACUUAAAUAAAAUUUAAAGACAACAAGACCCUAUAGAAUUUAAUUUAUUUAAAUUUUUUAAAUUUAAAUAAAUUUUAUUGGGGCAAUAAAAAAAUUUAUUUAAUUUUUUUUUAAUUUUACAUUUUAAAUGAAUUAUAAAUCUUAAUUUUUUUAAAUCAAAUAAAUUAAUUACCUUAGGGAUAACAGCAUAAUUUUUUUUUAAAGAUCGUAUUUACAAAAAAGUUUAU